rnacentral:rRNA from 1 species
AGUGAACGCUGGCGGUAGGCCUAACACAUGCAAGUCGAACGGCAGCACAGUAAGAGCUUGCUCUUACGGGUGGCGAGUGGCGGACGGGUGAGGAAUACAUCGGAAUCUACUUUUUCGUGGGGGAUAACGUAGGGAAACUUACGCUAAUACCGCAUACGACCUACGGGUGAAAGCAGGGGAUCUUCGGACCUUGCGCGAUUGAAUGAGCCGAUGUCGGAUUAGCUAGUUGGCGGGGUAAAGGCCCACCAAGGCGACGAUCCGUAGCUGGUCUGAGAGGAUGAUCAGCCACCCUGGAACUGAGACACGGUCCAGACUCCUACGGGAGGCAGCAGUGGGGAAUAUUGGACAAUGGGCGCAAGCCUGAUCCAGCCAUACCGCGUGGGUGAAGAAGGCCUUCGGGUUGUAAAGCCCUUUUGUUGGGAAAGAAAAGCAGCAGGUUAAUACCCCGCCGUUCUGACGGUACCCAAAGAAUAAGCACCGGCUAACUUCGUG